UACGUAGGGGGCAAGCGUUAUCCGGAUUUACUGGGUGUAAAGGGAGCGUAGGCGGCUUAGUAAGUCAGAAGUGAAAGCCCGCAGCUCAACUGCGGGACUGCUUUUGAAACUGCCAGGCUAGAGUGUCGGAGAGGUAAGUGGAAUUCCUAGUGUAGCGGUGAAAUGCAUAGAUAUAACUUAGAACACCGAUAGCGAAGGCAGCUUACCAGACUGAGUCUGACGCUGAUGCACGAGAGCAUGGGUAGCGAACAGG
rnacentral:rRNA from 1 species